AAAAACGUCAAAACACGGUGG
rnacentral:miRNA from 1 species